GUCUCCGAGUAACGCGUGGAAUCCCCCCGUGGCGCUCAGAGAAGCCGACCCGAGAGCCUCCCCCCGCCCCGCGCUGCGGCGGACGUUUAUUCCCCUUUCCGCGCAAAAGUCUCUGGAGAUUUCCUUGCCCCGCUGCUCUCCGCCCCCUGCCAAUAAGGUGACGCAGUGUGAAGCGGGAGGCUGACUUUCAUUCAGUGCAGGAUGUGAUGAGUUCAAGGAGAAACCCAGAUGGCAGGUGCUGAAGUCCUCCCUCAUGGCAAAUCCGUGUGUUUCCGUGGUUGGUCCUGACAGCUCAGAGGCCUAAUGGCUCUUCUCUGGGAGUGCAGCACAAACCAACACACUGUACCAGAUGCCCUCAGCCAUGGCAUUUAUUCCCUGUAGCUGAAGGCCCACAUUACCACAAUGAAGUCAGCAGGAAUUACUACUCAACAAUGAGGAAACACAGGCAAACCGUCUAAUUUGGGAUACUCCCACCUAGCCAUGCUAUUUAGACAGGUCCAUUUUCCAGGCAACCCUUCUGCCUCAGCAGUGUUAAGUUUUAAUAAGUGCUAUUAUUUGCCUCGCUGAACCAAUGUCUGGAACAGCCCAUGGGUACUAUUGCCACAUGCACGUGCUGUAAUGAACACCAAAGCCUAUUUCAGUGACCUGAAUCUUUUGAAAAUUUAGUCCUUUAUUUUUAUCCACUUAGAGGGAGCACAAGCUACAGUGUCCUACUUUUUCUCAACUGUGUCAUCUGACUCAUCAAUCAAAAUUGAGGCUGAAUCUUCUUAUCACCCACUGACUUUCAAUCAACCUAACAAACUGAUCAGAAGUACAAAGGAAAUGUUUUGUCACUCAGCCCUCUACCUUUGCAAAUAUUGAGUCAUGUGAGAUUAUAAUUUUACAGUUUACAAAAAAUACAAUUUCAGGCCAAAAAAGUUUACAAAAAAUACAAUACAAGGCCAAAUCCUAAACUCUUGGAAGUGUAGGUAAAUUUACCUUGGAAAGGUAUGCUUAGAAAGAACAUCACAGGACAAAGAGAAAAACUUCUGUGAAGUAGGACAACUUUAAUAUGAGCUUCUGUACUAUUGGGUUGCUUAAUUUUAAAUAUAAUACAAUAGUAGUAUUGUUUUAUCCACUUCCAUUAGAGUCCACUGUACACUCUUAUAACAUUUACCAGAUACAGAAAUAUAAAAGGUAUUUGGCCUACAGGCUGUUAAAGAAGUGGCUUAAAAUGUAGGUCUAUCCAGAAGGACCUCUGUUAAAAAUGUGAUAGGUUUUCCCCCUGUACUUUAGAAAAUGCAUGAAGCACUUUAAAAAUAACACAUCACCAUCACCCUUACCACCAAAAUCUGUUUUUCUUGUUGUUAUGGCAAAACAAGUGUCAGUGACCUGAUCCUAUUCUGUCUGACUCAUGAGACAUACAUAGGAAACAAUUAUAACACAUGCUAGAAGAUCAUUCCUUCCUUCCUCUUAGAAACUCUUUCCCAGAAUUCAGCCUGCAAUCCUUCAAAAUGUCUUCAGCCUGGCCAGGAAUAAAGAGUAAAAGACUGAAAUAUCCCAGUUUCCAAGGUAAACAACCCACAUUUCUCACUGUGCCACUAUUUGUCUUCUGAUGUCUCACACCCGAUUUUAAGACAGAUCCUCAAAAAAGUUGAAAAUAUGUUAGGUUGGGACCUAACAUUUGCAGCCCUUUCGAACAUUGCCAACUGUGGGUUUUCUUUUUCUGCUGCAUUGUGAUUGUCUCUACCCCCCCUACUUCUUGUUUUAAAUUAGUCCUACCUGUGCCUCUUCUUGCUCCUAGUUAAAGUCCUCUUCUCCUACACAUCCCAGAAAGUAAAUUUUGGACUAUAUUUUCAUAAACAGAAAAAUGAAAUAAAAUUAACAUUGUGUAUGUUUUUCAAGGUGUCCUUUCAUAAAUUAAGUCCUAAGCAUUACCUCAGUGCAAGCAACUAAUGAUCAAAUCCUAAGCCAGGCUGCAGAAUUGACCAUCAGCAUAGGUUUUCCAAUGAAACUGACUUGGUGUUAAAUUAAUUUUGGGACAAUAGAUACACAGCUUAGUAUUAGGAACAAUCUUGCUAACAGGUUUUAUGCUUUGGAUGAUCCUCUGUUUCCAAGUCAACCUCCUCAUCACCUUAUCAUACACCUCAUCAACAUGAAACCAAUGAUUUUUAUGAAGCUAUAACUAAUAGUAAUCGGAUGUAUUGCCACAAUGACAAUUACUUUUAUUUUGUGUUCAUUAAGUAAAUUGAAGUUUUUUUCUAGGCAGUGUGCAGGGAAGGAAAGAUGAAAGAGAAACCCUAAUAUUAUUGGUUGUUGGAGUUAAUAUCACCAGUCAAAGGGACAAAUGAAUAGUUUUCACACUGUACUGAUGUCUUCUGUUUCACUGCAGUUAAAUUCUUACUAUGGGGAGUUUGACUGUAAAAUACAAAGGCUUUCAUAUGCUGUGUGCCUACCAUACCACAAUAAAUGUUUCUUUUUGAAAAAGCAUUAUUAAUAGAGUGCAAUUUACCUACAACAACACAAAACACUCUUGGUAAACAAAAAUAAAUCUGCUGAUGAAAUUCAGUACAUCUAAAACCUCUUACUGAAUUGAAAAGGAAAGUAUUGUCUAUAGAGAAGCAACUUCUGGGCUGUAUACUCUUCUUCAGUUAAUCUGAGCUUUGAUUACAAAUAUGUAGUAUAAAACAUAGUACAUUCCAAGGAGCAAAACCAGAAGAAUCAGACUGUAAUAAAAGAAUGUUUCAGUAAGAUUUUUGUGAGAAUAGUGCAUGGUGAUACAUACUCAACAUUACGUUUCACUGAUGCUAAGCAUUUAGGUUAGUGCUGAGUAGACCCCUUUGUCCUCAAAGGAUUCUCAGUUCCAUUCCACAGAGGACACAAGCAUGAGAACUCAAGGAGAAUAUGCAGCAAGCAGCUAGAGGCUAAAUGAUCUCCUGUCAGAAUUUCAGUAAGGACAAAUCUCCCCUAGCCAAGAUCAGUGAAAGGAUCUUGUGGAGUUGCCUCAAAUGUUUAAGGCAACUAGAAGUGAAAUACUAUUUGUCAAGUAAAAACAGUUACGAGGAUCACACAAUGGGUAAGGUUGUAUGGGAAUAUAUUGAUGAAGAAAAUUAUGAUGGUUAUUCCUGCUAUCCAAAACCAUAGCAGUUUGGUCCAGGGUUACAAAGAACCCCAAUAUUAUUGAAUAUUUAUAUCUUCAUGCUGUUAUCAAAUCCAUUCAGCCACAAAAAUUUAUCUAAUAGAUGACAUUACUGUGCUAUAAUUACUGAACAACUUAAUAAUUUUGAGCACUGAAAAGAGAGAAAGUUUCAGUGCUUUAAAUCUCCUGACAGCUUGCAAGUGAGGAAAUUCUGGUUUUCUGAUUUUCUAUCUGAAAAAUGGAGUAAUAGAAACCGAAGGUCACUUUCUGAAAGCCAGUCACCAUGAGAUUGGGAGAGGCAUUUAAUAGCAUAGUCAGGAGUGCCAGCAAGCCCCUACUGACAUCAUUAGGAGUUGGCAUGUGCAGUUGAUAGCAGUACUUUCUUGCAAUCCCAUGAAGGACUUGCCUGCCUCCUAAACCUCUAAUCCCCAGUAACUGAAGUCCCUGCAUGGAGGAGAAAGCAGUGAUGGAAUCAGUUGCCUGCUGCCUGGAAAUGAAAUCUAUGUGCAAAGCACGGGGAAGGCAGAUUUUUCGACAGCAUGUGAAAGGGAUGUCUGAUUUCCAAGCUGGCCUCUGCCAGAAAGUUUCAUUCCCUGGCAGGGUCUUUCCUUGCUCUUUCUCUGGGCCACACUCUUUACCUGUCAGUAAUUCCUGCAGGAUUUUCUGAGUGCUUGUAUGCAUGCAGCCAUGUCCAAAAUUCAUCCAAGUAGAAAGGGCUGAUGGUGACCGGCAUCAGCAGUUGUGCUCUGCUGCCAGUCACCAUCAGCCCUUUCUACUUGUCACCCUCCCCUGCUAAUGAUUCAACAAACCUAGCCCCCACUAAAGAACAACAGUUGUUUCCAGUUUAAAUGGCAAUGGAUGAAGAAUCCUAUUGGUGUGCAGUCCUUACCUUCCAGCACAGCACCUCAGGCAGAACUGGCCCGAGUGACUUCCCGUGGUGUCCAGGCUGUGGUGGAAAUGCUGGACAUAUGCCAGGGACUCUGCAGCUCCUGGUUUGCUGCCUUCUCCCUCAUGUGGCUUUAUGUGGCUCAUGUAUGGUUUUCCACUGGCAAAGAGGACAACAGACCUGAAGGACCAUUGCACAAAAGAACCUGUAACAGCUCAGGAAAGCCAAGAGCCUUGCGGUUAAUUCCCUAAACAGCAGUUCUGAAACUUGAAGAUAGACACUCCAAAAUUUUUAGCCACAGGCUUCUUUCUGCUUAGACAUUUCCAUUCAUAUUCUGUGAUAGAUAGACAUUAUUUUGGGAGAACAAAAUGGGCUAUUACCACAGGAUCAUAUAAAUUCUCCCUGUCUUCUGGGAGGUUCAGACUGAAAGAUAAUCUGGAUGUAACUAUCCUAAAACAUUAAAUAUUUAUGAAAAAUAUAUAUCACAGCAUCUUACAUACGAUUGUGCAAUAUACUUUCAUGACUUUGCUCCCAAGGCACUUCUUUUAGAUAUUAAAUUGAUGAAAAAUGGUGUGAUGCUUUUCAGCAAGAAAAGAUCUCUCCUCCAGCCCCCCAAAUGAACUCCCUAAGACAUAUUUCUUCUGCUUUGUGUUAAAGCAGAAAACUGCAUUUCCACCUCAUCAUUUUAUAUUGUAAUGGUUCUGGUUAUGAAAAUGGAAUAAUCAAGAAAGCUAUUUUUAAAAUAGCUUCACUAAAAUAUAGAGGAAAUUUUAUUGUCUGCUGAGUUAGAAAAUCUGUCUAUAAUUAGAUUUCAAUGUCGCUCCUUUUGGUGCAUUUUAACAUUUCUGCAGACCGUAGUCUUUAUGAAGUAUAUAGUUCCAGAGUAUAGCUUUCCUCUUUUGAAAAUUAUGACCCUGUGGCAUGCUUUCAGGAGAUGAUGUCUUUAUAUCAGCUGUUACAGAUAAUCUAAUAGUUGAUGCAGUCUCAUUCCUGUGGCAUAAUUUGUUUUCAUUUGCUUUUCUCUAUGUAUUGUGUGUUGUAAGAUUGUGAGGAAAAUUAUUCAUCUGUAUCGAAGGAUAGUACAGAAUUUUAGUAUAAAUGUCUCUAUUUUGUAUUUUACAAGUGAUGGUUGUGUAUAUGAAGUGCUAUUUACAUGAAGAGCAGUGGAAAUUCAACAAUUGUAGUAUUGUUUCUCAUUCUGCAAUCUUACUGUAUAAAUAAAGAAGUUAUUAGUACAAAGUUAUUAGUAUGAAAGAUAUUUAUAUAGCUGUCCUUUUGCAGAAAAAAUGCUAACUGACCAGCUCUUGUUGAGUUUUUUUAUUGCCUGCAAUAAUGCCUUCGCUUAUGAGGUUAGGUUUUUGUGGUAGAUGUUUGCAAAUUGAGACUUGUUUUCUGGAAACUAUACUGAAGGGUAAAAAGUGACUCCUAAAGAAACUGAUGGCACCAUAUUGCUAGUUCAUCUGGUUAUCAAGACAUUGCUAUGCUUGUGUCUUCUGGGUACACCUGCAGUAUAUAGGAUAUGUAUAGGGUGGAGAGAUGGAGAGAGGAGGGGGACACACAAACAGCUUGUGGUGUCCCCUGGCCACCUCACAGCUCUGCCAUGUUUCCUGGUGGUGUGUAAGUAGUUGCUGCCUCCACUAUCCUUUCCUCCUUGCCUUCCAGUCCACUUCUAACAUUUGACCAGUUCAGAUAUGUUCCCCAAAUCAGUCUCUGAGCAGCGACGGGGAGGGAAGGGAAUGGGGAAUAAAGGUGCCCAAGGCCAGAUCAUCAGCCAGCAUUGAGCAGAGUAAACAAGGCCAGUGUAGAUGGUUUGUCAGGGCUGCAAUUCUGAUGUAGUUGCCUUCAUCUUUGAGAACAGCAGAGCUGACCCUCUCCUCUACUGGCACACCUUGUUCUCAGGUGUUCAACCACUGCUGGAUUUGUGUUUAAAUCAAUUGAAGUAUAAUGCAGUGGAAAUAUUUUCCCUUUGGGACCUCUGGUUUUCAGAAGAUAUAGUUCCCCUUGUUCUCCAGAAAUGAACUGUAAAAAUCACACCUCAGCCCACAUGAAUUCUAACUGUACUUGAAACUUCAACCUAAUUAAACUGUUAACUUUAAACGCCAGCAUAAAAAGGAAAAAAAGGAACAAUUCUCACAUUAUGUAGGUAACAUCUCCCAUUUUGGUGGCCUUAGUACCACACGACGUUGAGUUCAGACUAAUUCAAAUCUAAUUAGGACAUAUACAUGGACUUCCACAAUCUUGUGAUGUAAGUAAGUAGAGCCAUGAUUUCCAGCUCAGGGGACCCAGCCUGCCUGGCUCUCCUUGCUUACCACCCAUGUGGCUGGUGAAACAAUGCAAUUUCUUUUAUCAAAAAGUCCUGACUCCAAAGAUCUGUCACUGCAAACAGUCAUGGGAGCAAAUCACAUGCCAGCCUAAAAAAUCAAUAUUGAAGAAUAAAUUGAACUAUAAUAGUGUGUCUGUCUGGUUAUUUAAAAAUAGAUGAACAAAGAAAAUGCAAAGCACGCAAAGCAGCCAAGAAAGGUUUACAGAGAUUACUCAAAGGCUAAAAAAUUGCAAGGAAACUCCCCUUCUAGAAACAGCCUAGUUCAACACCCUCUGAAAUCAGAGAAGUGCCUUUUCCUUUGACUUUGAAAGCCUUCUCAAACACAUCAUUUGUGUCUUCCCAAACACAAAGACAUAGUAGCUAAUUUCCUGAGCUUAUAUGCUCCCACUAAGGCCCAUUGAUAGUGCCCAAAUAAGGCAAAGGGAAGGGUCUUGGACAUGUAACAAUUCAGCCUUCAAGCCAUGAACUUUCAAGGAAAUGGCACACAGCAAAUCCAUGAACAAACAGUGAGCUGAGAUUGUCUCAAGAGGGCCUAUUAAAUUUUCAGGAGAACUAUGAACUCAUUCAAAGGGUUCUACUGAAUAUUGCUAUCAAACCUCUGAACUGUUACAAGCAUCUUCUGGUGAUACUCUUGAGGCUUCUUCUAACAUUCUAGAGAAGAUGCAGUUUUCCUUUAAACUCCACAGGGUACUUCAAAAGUCUGCAAGGGUUAUAAUUUUCUAGUAAAUAUCACUGUAUCAAACAUCUCUUUUAAAAUU